rnacentral:rRNA from 1 species
AGGUGGGCAGCCCUAACCAUGCAAGUCGAACGAAGGCUUCGGCCUUAGUGGCGCACGGGUGCGUAACGCGUGGUAAUUUAGAGUUAGGNACGGAAUAACUCAGGGAAACUUGAGCUCCUUUCGUAUAAUGACUCCGGUCCAAAGAUUUAUCGCCUGAGGAUGAGCCCGCGUCGGAUUAGCUAGUUGGUGAGGUCCAAGCUCACCAAGGCGACGAUCCGUAGCUGGUCUGAGAGGAUGAUCAGCCACACUGGGACUGAGACACGGCCCAGACUCCUACGGGAGGCAGCAGUGGGGAAUAUUGGACAAUGGGCGAAAGCCUGAUCCAGCAAUGCCGCGUGAGUGAUGAAGGCCUUAGGGUUGUAAAGCUCUUUUACCCGGGAUGAUAAUGACAGUACCGGGAGAAUAAGCCCCGGCUAACUCCGUGCCAGCAGCCGCGGUAAUACGGAGGGGGCUAGCGUUGUUCGGAAUUACUGGGCGUAA